rnacentral:rRNA from 1 species
CGAUGAAGGACGUGGGAGGCCACGAUAGGCCCCGGGGAGUCGUCAACCAGGCUUUGAUCCGGGGGUGUCCGAAUGGGGAAACCCGGCAGUCGUCAUGGGCUGUCACCCGCUGCUGAACACAUAGGCAGUGUGGAGGGAACGCGGGGAAGUGAAACAUCUCAGUACCCGCAGGAAGAGAAAACAACCGUGAUUCCGGGAGUAGUGGCGAGCGAAACUGGAUGAGGCUAAACCGUAUACGUGUGAGACCCGGCAGGGGUUGCGUGUGCGGGGUUGUGGGAUCUCUCUUCUACGGUCUGCCGGCCGUAGGGCGAGUCAGAAACCGUUGAUGUAGGCGAAGGACAUGCGAAAGGUCCGGCGUAGAGGGUAAGACCCCCGUAGUCGAAACAUCAGCGGCUUGCUUGAGAGACACCCAAGUAGCACGGGGCCCGAGAAAUCCCGUGUGAAUCUGGCGGGACCACCCGCUAAGCCUAAAUAUUCCCUGGUGACCGAUAGCGGAUAGUACCGUGAGGGAAUGGUGAAAAGUACCGC